AGCUUGCUGCUUCGCUGACGAGUGGCGGACGGGUGAGUAAUGUCUGGGAAACUGCCUGAUGGAGGGGGAUAACUACUGGAAACGGUAGCUAAUACCGCAUAACGUCGCAAGACCAAAGAGGGGGACCUUCGGGCCUCUUGCCAUCGGAUGUGCCCAGAUGGGAUUAGCUUGUUGGUGGGGUAACGGCUCACCAAGGCGACGAUCCCUAGCUGGUCUGAGAGGAUGACCAGCCACACUGGAACUGAGACACGGUCCAGACUCCUACGGGAGGCAGCAGUGGGGAAUAUUGCACAAUGGGCGCAAGCCUGAUGCAGCCAUGCCGCGUGUAUGAAGAAGGCCUUCGGGUUGUAAAGUACUUUCAGCGGGGAGGAAGGGAGUAAAGUUAAUACCUUUGCUCAUUGACGUUACCCGCAGAAGAAGCACCGGCUAACUCCGUGCCAGCAGCCGCGGUAAUACGGAGGGUGCAAGCGUUAAUCGGAAUUACUGGGCGUAAAGCGCACGCAGGCGGUUUGUUAAGUCAGAUGUGAAAUCCCCGGGCUCAACCUGGGAACUGCAUCUGAUACUGGCAAGCUUGAGUCUCGUAGAGGGGGGUAGAAUUCCAGGUGUAGCGGUGAAAUGCGUAGAGAUCUGGAGGAAUACCGGUGGCGAAGGCGGCCCCCUGGACGAAGACUGACGCUCAGGUGCGAAAGCGUGGGGAGCAAACAGGAUUAGAUACCCUGGUAGUCCACGCCGUAAACGAUGUCGACUUGGAGGUUGUGCCCUUGAGGCGUGGCUUCCGGAGCUAACGCGUUAAGUCGACCGCCUGGGGAGUACGGCCGCAAGGUUAAAACUCAAAUGAAUUGACGGGGGCCCGCACAAGCGGUGGAGCAUGUGGUUUAAUUCGAUGCAACGCGAAGAACCUUACCUGGUCUUGACAUCCACGGAAGUUUUCAGAGAUGAGAAUGUGCCUUCGGGAACCGUGAGACAGGUGCUGCAUGGCUGUCGUCAGCUCGUGUUGUGAAAUGUUGGGUUAAGUCCCGCAACGAGCGCAACCCUUAUCCUUUGUUGCCAGCGGUCCGGCCGGGAACUCAAAGGAGACUGCCAGUGAUAAACUGGAGGAAGGUGGGGAUGACGUCAAGUCAUCAUGGCCCUUACGACCAGGGCUACACACGUGCUACAAUGGCGCAUACAAAGAGAAGCGACCUCGCGAGAGCAAGCGGACCUCAUAAAGUGCGUCGUAGUCCGGAUUGGAGUCUGCAACUCGACUCCAUGAAGUCGGAAUCGCUAGUAAUCGUGGAUCAGAAUGCCACGGUGAAUACGUUCCCGGGCCUUGUACACACCGCCCGUCACACCAUGGGAGUGGGUUGCAAAAGAAGUAGGUAGCUUAACCUUCGGGAGGGCGCUUACCACUUUGUGAUUCAUGACUGGGGUGAAGUCGUAACAAGGUAACCGUAGGGGAACCUGCGGUUGGAUCACCUCCUU
rnacentral:rRNA from 1 species